GCCUUGCUUGUUUGUUGUUGUCGCUGAGCGCAGCUUUGUUAAAGCUCUUUACGCAUUGCGAGAACAGCUGUCGCGGCAUUUUUAGCGUGUUCGGUUGUGUGUGCGUAUUGUGCUCUAGUGAUUUGUGUGAAAAAUAAAUAUUUUGAGCAUCGUGAGUGUUUAAUUGUGUUUUAAUUCAACAAAUUCGUUCGUCUAAACAAUUUGCGUAUGGUGAGCUAAUCGUACGCUCCUUAUUAUGCCUACUGAGAAUGAGAAAUAUAUUCGCCAGCCAAAUUACCCAAAAGGGGCGGUGCCACGCCUCUCUUGCAACCACGUUGAAUAUGCAAUGCCAAGGGAUCUACUGUUUAGGCAACGAUUAGUGGCAACCACAUUCGAAAGUUUAAGAAACAAAAGUGAUUAAUGUGUUUUCAUCAUCGGUAUAACCAGGAAAUUCUCAUCAAUAUUAUUAUGAAAUAUUGGAUAAGGAAUUACUUCGCCUGACGGAGUUGGAGGAGCUCUACAGCUACAAAGUAUUUAAAAUCGAUGAAAAUUCCAGAAUAAGUAAAAGUAAAAUUUUUGGAUGGCGGUUUCCAGGUUUAAAUAACAACUACAACUCUCGAUGUUAUCCACUUUUAGAUAAUAUGUGGAGCAAUUUAAAUACCAGACCAGAACUUAAUAUAGAAACAAGGAAACUUAUCUUGAAAUUCGCCAGGACACUUUUGCAAUUAAAUUACUUUAUAAUUGUUUGUUGCUGUUUUAUGUUUGCCUGGUAUUUGACUUGUGUGUAACUUAAUAAUCAUCUUUUAUAUUUAAUUGUACCAUGUUAACGUUGUUUAA